rnacentral:lncRNA from 1 species
AUGAGGUUCGUACCGGAGGGCUUUGCCCCGAGCGCCGGCGCUCGGGGAGCGGCGCCCGAGCCCGCCCGGCGCGGGGCCGGGGGCUCGGGGGGGCUCUGGGGAGGCCCCGGGGGGUGCUGGGGGGGCAGCGCGGGGCCGGUCCCGUCCCGUCCCGUCCUCGCUUUUGCGCCUCUUUUGGGAAGUUUCGCCUCCCCGCCCCGCGCAGCCCGGCUCGCCGCAGCCGGGGGGGCUCCGGGGCUCCGCCGCAGCCUCCUCCGGGGUCGCAGCCUGGGGGGCCGGGGGGGAAACGGCGGGAGCGGAGGGCCCCGAGGGGGAGCGGGGGGACGGCGGGGAGCGGCCCCGCUGCUGCCGUGCCCGUGGGGGCCCCGCGGGGCUCGGGGCAGAGGCGGGGGCGGCCCCCCCCGGGCGGAGAGCGGGGCGAGGCGGGGGCACCGCGGCAUCCCCGAGCCCCGCUCUCCCGGAGCGCUUUCCCCGUGGGGCGGGCGAGCCCGUCCUGCCCUCCUUCCCUGGCUCCAUCCCUCCUCGCCUCCAUCCAUCGCUGCCUCCCUGCUUCCCUCCGGAGCGGCUCCGGCGGCGAAGUUGCUGCCGGUGCCCCGGCGGGGGCCGCGGAAGGCGGCGGCGGGGCCGGGGAGCGAGGCGGGGAGCGGCCGGGGGCGGCCGGCGGCGGGGAGAGGCGGGGAUGCGCGGGAGGCGUGCGGGAGGCGGCUGCGGGCGGGCUCGGCUGAAAACGCUUUGCCUAGGGGCGAGCCGGCUGCUCCCCUUCUUGCCCUUUUCCUCCCCCUUCUCCCGGUCCCUUUCUCGAUGCAAAAAGCUCCGGAGAAAGCCGAGCGCGGUCCCGCGCCCCGCGCUCCGUUCGCCGCAGCCGAGCCGGCCCCGGCGAGCUUUGUGCGGCUCGGCUCGCUCGGCGCUGCUGCCGGCGGAGCCCCGCUGCUCUCCCCGCACACACGGCGUAGCUCGCUUUCCUCUAAGAGGUCCCGCUCUCUUCCCCCCUUCUCUUUUUGUGUCUCUUAA